AUUGUCACCGUCACUGGGGCUGUCACUGUCACGGGGAUUGUCACCACUGCUAGGUUUGUCACCGUCACUGGGAUUGUCACCAUCGCUGGGUUUGUCACCUUGCUGAGUUUGUCACCAUUACCACUGUCACCGUCACUGGGGCUGUCACCGUCACCGGGAUUGUCACCAUUCCUGGGAUUGCCGCUGUCACCGGGAUUGUCACCAUUACUGGGAUUGUCACACUGCUGGGUUUGUCACCGUCACCGCUGUCACCGUCACUGGGGCUGUCACCAUUCCUGGGAUUGUCGCUGUCACCGUCACCAGGAUUGUCACCAUUCCUGGGAUUGCCACUGUCACCAGGAUUGUCACUGUCACUGGGGCUGUCACCGUUCCUGGGAUUGCCGCUGUCACCAGGAUUGUCACUGUCACCGCUGUCACCGUCACUGGGGCUGUCACUGCCACCAGGACUGUCACCACUAGGUUUG
rnacentral:lncRNA from 1 species